ACACUCCUGCGGGAGGCAGCAGUGAGGAAUAUUGGACAAUGGGUGGAAGCCUGAUCCAGCCAUCCCGCGUGCAGGAAGACGGCCCUAUGGGUUGUAAACUGCUUUUAUCUGGGGAUAAACCUACUUACGUGUAAGUAGCUGAAGGUACCAGAAGAAUAAGCACCGGCUAACUCCGUGCCAGCAGCCGCGGUAAUACGGAGGGUGCAAGCGUUAUCCGGAUUUAUUGGGUUUAAAGGGUCCGUAGGCGGACUGAUAAGUCAGUGGUGAAAUCCGACAGCUUAACUGUCGAACUGCCAUUGAUACUGUUAGUCUUGAGUAAGGUUGAAGUGGCUGGAAUAAGUAGUGUAGCGGUGAAAUGCAUAGAUAUUACUUAGAACACCAAUUGCGAAGGCAGGUCACUAAGUCUUAACUGACGCUGAUGGACGAAAGCGUGGGGAGCGAACAGGAUUAGAAACCCGGGUAGUCCCA
rnacentral:rRNA from 1 species